GAGCUGGUGAGGUCCGCUGCUGUUCGGUUGGUGAGUUGUUAGUUUAUAGUUAGACAAUUUUCUUUGCAUGCCAUGGAUUAUCAUCUCUUUUCAAAAUUUAUCGGGCUUUAAUAAUCGUUCUAUAUUGCUAAAAGUUGGUAAUUUGCAUGAUUUUUGGUGGUUAGGUCAGUAAGUGCGGCCAGAUGUUUGCAGCGAGCAAAGAGAGAACAGCAAACACUGAGAGAAUGGAUGUGAUCUUUGUUCAGGUAUUUGUGUUUGAUGUGAAAAUUGUUGCCUUUAGCAUGCUGUCAUUAAAAUACUCGUAUGAACUGCACACUUACAAGAUGCCAAAUUGACCAUUAAAAAAAGUUGAUAUGCCGU
rnacentral:lncRNA from 1 species